AAUAAAGUAAGCUAAAUAAGCUUUUAGGCCCAUACCCUAAAAAUGUCGGUUAAAAACCCCUCUUUUAUUAA
rnacentral:tRNA from 1 species